UGUGAGUUUCCCUUUAUAUGCCACUAACCUUGAAAUAAUUGGGGGAUGGAAGGGAAACGAGCGCGGACUGAGGCGUUGGACAUGCCUGCUGGUGGCUGCUUGUCAAAGCGGAGAUUGGCGCGGCCACAAGAGUUUGAUCAACUCGCACAGUCGAGAGCCGGACGCCGUUCUGAAGAGCCGUCGCCAAGGACGCUUCCACUUGGUUUUCCCCAACCUGACGACUGCCUUCAGAGCGGUGGAGCUCCUGCAGGAGGAGAGCUGCGUGGUGAUUGGCUUUGCUUUAUUUGCUGCCCUCUGUGACGAGGAUUUAAUCUGCGGCCGACCCAUGAAUCAGCUCGCCUAAACCUGCUCUUUCGAACUUUUACCCCAAGACACUUGUCUCAUCCUCGGACUGGGCAGUCCAUCGGCAUUAUCAGUCGGACAGUUCAUCACCCAUUGCGUUUGGCUCGGGGUUUGAUCAGACGCUCUCAGACGAGGAUAAGGGCAAAAAAGAAGAAAAAAAAAAGGUGGAGGGGACGAUGGUCUCAACCCACCUCAACCUGAGACCUUGGAGAAAUGGUUCGUUGAACAACCGGCCCCAUCCUAUCUAAGAGGUCUCGGACAAGAAAACGCAGAAAGAUGGCGGCUGUUUGAAAUCCCUGCUGCCGUGGAACUGGAUAGACUUGUACAAAAGCAACAACAAAAAAAGACUCUAAAACACGACUAAACACACAAACACGUCGCAGAAAAUUCUGAAGUCCAAAGGAGCGGCAAACAUAUACACUACAUGCACAUUUCCAGCGGAAAUUACACAUAAUAGGGAUCCAUAAAUAUCAACUCGGAGACACAAACACAUCAGCGCUCAUCAAUUCAAAUGGUGUGCUUUGUAAAUAGUGUAAAAGUUGGUUUGGAUGACGUUUUGUUUGUUUCUCAUAGUGGGGUUUUGCUUUAUUUCUUUGUUCAACAUGCCUUAAAUUGUAUAGCCGAGUCUUGGAUGACUAACUGAAAAUGUUCUCGAUGAUAAAACUUAGUUGGAAACCAUCUUGUUAACUGUAUUCAGGUUGAACAAAGUUUUCAACAGCGCUUUUUGUUCUGUUGGCUAACAGAAUUGUUGUGUAUAGACCUCCUUACAUAAUACAUCCAAUCACCUUUAAAAGUUACUAGCUAACUACAGAGUAGAGCGACAAGUCUUUAAUGUUUUUUUUUUUUUUCUAAAUUUGCUGGUGGUUGGAUUUUUGUUGCUCUUUUGUUUUCAUGAAAACGCAGAGUGAAUUUGUUCGGAGUUGAUUCGUUUGGUUAUUUUCUGAAGGUCUGUACUCUGGGGAGCUGAGCUGACCGGGCUAUAACCGACCCCUCACUGUGCUGCGUCAGUAUGCAGUUUGGGUAAAUUUAGGCAUCCUUAAAUUUCAGAUAUGAGUUGGUGCAUUUGGACUUUUUACACUCCAGGAGAAUUGUACGAUUUUUAGAAAAAAUAUAUAUAUAUAUACUGUUGUGCAGAUGUGAGAGAAUCUCAGGCUUAUUUAUGUGAAAAGGAAGCUUUAUAAUUGGAGAUCCGUUGAUUGGGGUUUUCAUGACCAAUUCUGAUACCUGUGUUUUUAAGAUCUGGAAUCCCGAUUCUGCCAUCUUCUAUUUUUUGUUUAAUAACUUUUACAGUAAAGAAAAAAGAAACAAUCAGAGCAGAUAACUUUAUAGAUAUAAUAAUUUUGAACGGAUGUGGCAGAAUUAUAAGUUGGUUGCCGUUUAUGAGUCAAAGCCAGUGGUAGUUCCCACAUUUAACCAAACACAAAUACUAUUUUGGAAGCAAAACUCUGUAACACUUUUUAUAACUUCUCAAUAAGAUCCAAAGUAUUUAUUGGUUUAUUACCAAUCUUAGGCUUCGCUGUUUGUUUGUUUUUUUCAUCCCAAUCUCUGCCUGUAAGAAUUUUGGAUUUUAAAGUAGUGAUCAAAUGUCUGAUUGUUUAAAAUAUACAUAUAUAUAUAUAGCCCAAUAAUUUCAUAUUGAACUUGCAGCUGCAGAUCAGAGACCAACUGUAGCAUCGGUAAUGAGAUGCAGUGAGUUACUUUUUCUUCUUUUUUCUUUUUUUACAGUGAAAAACUCCAGGGGGCGCUACUCCUUAUUGACUGAACAUGCAAUUACGCUAUAAAAAGUUCCUUUAGAUGCAACGUUGCAGCUUUUUUUUUUUUUUUUUUUAAGCGCUAAUGUUACCUCCCAGUGCUCUCUAGGACAUACCGCCCUGGGUGGAGAGCCAACAUGGGUUUCAAACAUUUCUCUGAUUUUCAUUAAACUAUUGAAGUAUGUUAGUUGAUGUCAAAAAUGGUGGGAUUUAUUAUUUUUGCUGCACUUAAUGUGCAGAAAUGGAAAGUAUCCCUGAUCUACCAAUCAGAGCUGCUCAAAGGAAAAACUGGCCCGAUUCUUUAGAUGAUUGAUUUGCGCGUCUUUGUUUCUAUUUGAAGGUGAAGCCUCUUCGGUCCGGGGUGGUCAACUCUGGCGCUUGAGAUCUACCAUCCUGCAACUUUUAGAAGCUUUCCUUCUCCAUCACGCCUGAAUUUUCUCAGAAACACGUCAUUUAGCUCGGUAGAGGCCUGGUCAGAAGAUAUUUGUGUUGAAAAGAGAUUCACCUAAAAGUUGCAGGACGGUAGCUUUCAAGGACUGGACUUGGCCACCUUUGAUCUAAAAAGAUUUGAAGCGUCAAGUGUUUUUAAUCAGUUCAUUUUUGUACCUUUGCUAACUACAGAAUGUCAUUUUUAAUACAAGCAGCUGAUGAUCAUCGCCAACUAGUGUUUAAUUAUCUUCCUUAGCCAUCACUGAGAAGUUGCAGAAGACUCCAUUAGGCUAGAAUUGUUAAAUUGCGACCAAAUGUUUUGCAUUUGCAAAAAAAAAA